UACAUCGACGCUAAGGUGGAGAACGGACACGUUAGGCUGCUGGGCUUCAUCGGAAAGAUCACUCAUGCCACAAUAGACUCGCUGAGACUUAACUGUACAUUCGUCAAGCCUAGAUACGGUACGUUCGGCGGCGAGUCUGUGAACAACACCUGGCCCGGAAUCGUUGGAAUGCUGGUCAAAAACGAGGCGGACAUUGCUCCAGGUCCUCUGGUGGUGACUUCCCAGCGAGUGUCUGUGGCCGACCCAACGGUGCCGUACUCGUACGAGGACAUGGUCAUCCUCGGAGGGAGGCCCAAGCAGUUCAGCAGCAAUCUCUUCAGCAUCGCACUAACGUUUUCGCCCAUGGUGACCAUGUCAUUAUACUGCACUUAUGGUUAGGGCAAAAAAAAAAAAAUUAAUAAGACCGUCAGUGACGCUUGGGUUUUCUUACAUCACUGCAAACAGCGGUUCAAAACUAGCCCGCAUGUUACAACGCUUCAACACCAAAAGGUGCAGGAAACUCCGCCAGUGUUUACACUAGGCUGCGCACG